rnacentral:rRNA from 1 species
GGGCCCGCACAAGCGGAGGAACAUGUGGUUUAAUUCGAUGAUACGCGAGGAACCUUACCCGGGCUUGAAAUGCAGAAGAAUAACGUUGAAAGAUGUUAGCCAGCAAUGGCUUCUGUGUAGGUGCUGCAUGGUUGUCGUCAGCUCGUGCCGUGAGGUGUCGGCUUAAGUGCCAUAACGAGCGCAACCCACAUUGUUAGUUACUAACAGGUCAAGCUGAGGACUCUAACAAGACUGCCGUCGUAAGAUGCGAGGAAGGUGUGGAUGACGUCAAAUCAGCACGGCCCUUACGUCCGGGGCGACACACGUGUUACAAUGGGUGGUACAAAGGGGCAGCUACUUGGUGACAAGAUGCUAAUCUCCAAAGCCACUCCCAGUUCGGAUCGGAGUCUGCAACUCGACUCCGUGAAGCUGGAUUCGCUAGUAAUCGCGCAUCAGCCCAUGGCG